CCAGAAAGUAGGGCAUUUGCGCAAUUUUUCGAAAAAGUAGGGCAUUUUUGUAUUUUUUUUACAAACUAGGGCAGGAAAAAAAAAUUUCCUAUUUUUGUAACAUCAACAUUGAUAAAAGUUUGCAUGGUUGCAAAUGAUUCAACAAAAAUAAAGAAAAGUAAACAUGAGUUUUACCACUCAUAUUCACUUUUCAAUGUUUUCUUUGAAAUGCUAUAAAUUAAG
rnacentral:lncRNA from 1 species